GGCGAACGGGUGAGUAACACGUGACCAACCUGCCUCUUACAUUGGGACAACCAAAGAAAUUCUGGCUAAUACCAAAUACUCCGCACAUAUCACAUGAUGUAUGCGGGAAAGCUUUUGCGGUAAGAGAUGGGGUCGCGGCCCAUUAGGUAGACGGCGGGGUAGAAGCCCACCGUGCCGAUGAUGGGUAGCCGGGUUGAGAGACCGACCGGCCACAUUGGGACUGAGAUACGGCCCAGACUCCUACGGGAGGCAGCAGGC
rnacentral:rRNA from 1 species